rnacentral:rRNA from 1 species
GCGAACGCUGGCGGCAGGCUUAACACAUGCAAGUCGAACGCAUCCUUCGGGGUGGGUGGCAGACGGGUGAGUAACACGUGGGAACGUACCUUUUGGUUCGGAACAACUGAGGGAAACUUCAGCUAAUAUCGGAUACGCCCUUCGGGGGAAAGAUUUAUCGCCGAAAGAUCGGCCCGCGUCUGAUUAGCUAGUUGGUAGGGUAAUGGCCUACCAAGGCGACGAUCAGUAGCUGGUCUGAGAGGAUGAUCAGCCACACUGGGACUGAGACACGUCCCAGACUCCUACGGGAGGCAGCAGUGGGGAAUAUUGGACAAUGGGGGCAACCCUGAUCCAGCCAUGCCGCGUGAGUGAUGAAGGCCUUAGGGUUGUAAAGCUCUUUUAUCCGGGACGAUAAUGACGGUACCGGAAGAAUAAGCCCCGGCUAACUUCGU